GGUCGGGAUAGCUCAGUUGGUAGAGCAGAGGACUGAAAAUC
rnacentral:tRNA from 7 species